GAUGAACGCUGACAGAAUGCUUAACACAUGCAAGUCCACUUGAAUUUGGGUUUUUAACUUAGGUUUGGGUGGCGGACGGGUGAGUAACGCGUAAAGAACUUGCCUCACAGCUAGGGACAACAUUUGGAAACGAAUGCUAAUACCUAAUAUUAUGAUAAUAGGGCAUCCUAUAAUUAUGAAAGCUAUAAGCGCUGUGAGAGAGCUUUGCGUCCCAUUAGCUAGUUGGAGAGGUAACGGCUCACCAAGGCGAUGAUGGGUAGCCGGCCUGAGAGGGUGAUCGGCCACAAGGGGACUGAGACACGGCCAUUACUCCUACGGGAGGCAGCAGUGGGGAAUAUUGGACAAUGGACCGAGAGUCUGAUCCAGCAAUUCUGUGUGCAAGAUGAAGUUUUUCGGAAUGUAAAGUGCUUUCAGUUGGGAAGAAACAAAUGACGGUACCAACAGAAGAAGUGACGGCUAAAUACGUG
rnacentral:rRNA from 1 species